UACAGAGGAGCCAAGCGUUGUCCGGAUCGACUGGGCGUAAAGGGCUCGUAGGCGGCCAACUAAGUCGGACGUGAAAUCCCUCGGCUUAACCGGGGAACUGCGUCCGAUACUGGAUGGCUUGAGUUUGGGAGAGGGAUGCGGAAUUCCAGGUGUAGCGGUGAAAUGCGUAGAUAUCUGGAGGAACACCGGUGGCGAAGGCGGCAUCCUGGACCAACACUGACGCUGAGGAGCGAAAGCCAGGGGAGCAAACGGG
rnacentral:rRNA from 1 species